UAUAAAAUAAAUUACCUUAGGGAUAACAGCGUAAUUUUUCUUAAAAGUUCUUAUUGAAAGGAAAGUUUGCGACCUCGAUGUUGGAUUAAAAUUAAUUUUUGGUGCAGUAACUUAAAAAUUGGGUCUGUUCGACCUUUAAAAUUUUACAUGAUCUGAGUUUAAACCGGUGUGAGCCAGGUUGGAUUCUAUCUUUAGAUUGUUAAUAUAUUUUAGUACGAAAGGACCAAAUAUAUAUUAAAUUGAUU
rnacentral:rRNA from 1 species